CCUACGGGCCGCACCAGUGGGGAAUAUUGCACAAUGGGCGCAAGCCUGAUGCAGCCAUGCCGCGUGUAUGGAGAAGGCCUUAGGGCUGUAAAGCACUUUCAGUUGGGAGGAAGGCGUUGAUGCUAAUAUCAUCAGCGAUUGACGUUACCAACAGAAGAAGCACCGGCUAACUCCGUGCCAGCAGCCGCGGUAAUACGGAGGGUGCAAGCGUUAAUCGGAAUUACUGGGCGUAAAGCGCACGCAGGCGGUUGAUAAGUUAGAUGUGAAAUCCCCGGGCUUAACCUGGGAAUGGCAUCUAAGACUGGUCAGCUAGAGUCUUGUAGAGGGGGGUAGAAUCCCAUGUGUAGCGGUGAAAUGCGUAGAGAUGUGGAGGAAUACCGGUGGCGAAGGCAGCCCCCUGGACAAAGACUGACGCUCAGGUGCGAAAGCGUGGGGAGCAAACAGGAUUAGAUACCCCGGUAGUC
rnacentral:rRNA from 1 species